CGGCUGGGGGGACUCCCUCUCUCCCUCUCUCCCCGCCACCGAGCAGCGCGACAGAGAUCUCCAUCGACGGAAGCAUUUGCAGUGAUGCGAGCGCUUCCGGAGUGAGCUCAAUUGAUCCGCAUCGUGCAGGCGGCCGCGGAUUGAGGGGAUAUCGUUCGAGCAGCUCCGCCACCUCGAUUCGGAAUCGGCCGACUUUUUGCGCGUUUGGCUCGGAUGGGACGUUCUCGCGCGGCUUCUCGCCCGGCCGAUGAAGAUCCGAAUCAAAGAUCCAAGAAGAAAAAGAUUGCCUCUGGUCCAGAAAAUGUAGACUCUGCAUCUGCAGUUAUUGGUCAGGGAAAUGAAGAGAAAGGGGCUUCCUACCACUGCAACUAUUGCAACAAGGAUAUAUGCGUAUCAAGUGUGCGACUUGUCCAGAUUUUGACCUUUGCGUAGAAUGUUUUUCUGUUGGAGCUGAAAUUACCUCCAAAAUUGGUGAAUGACUAUAUAGGCAAAUUAUCAAAAGAUUUGGAUUAAGUUGACUAAAUGAAAAUUUUAAAAUUGAAUUUGUCUCUGUAUAAUAGGUUUAGGAUUUUAUUUUUUUUUUGUAAUUAUCCCUCAUUAAUUAUCUAGAGCAU